rnacentral:pre_miRNA from 1 species
ACAACAUUUGGACCGUCGGUCUACCGAGCAAUAUCACCUACUCGGUGGAAAAUUUUCCUUCCGAAU